rnacentral:rRNA from 1 species
AGUUAUCGUUUAUUUGAUAGUACCUUACUACUUGGAUAACCGUGGUAAUUCUAGAGCUAAUACAUGCUAAAAACCCCAACUUCGGGAGGGGUGUAUUUAUUAGAUAAAAAACCAAUGCCCUUCGGGGCUCUCUGGUGAUUCAUAAUAACUUCUCAGAUCGCAUGGCCUUGCGCCGGCGACGGUUCAUUCAAAUUUCUGCCCUAUCAACUUUCGAUGGUAAGGUAUUGGCUUACCAUGGUUUCAACGGGUAACGGGGAAUUAGGGUUCGAUUCCGGAGAGGGAGCCUGAGAAACGGCUACCACAUCCAAGGAAGGCAGCAGGCGCGCAAAUUACCCAAUCCCAAUACGGGGAGGUAGUGACAAUAAAUACUGAUACAGGGCUCUUUAGGGUCUUGUAAUUGGAAUGAGUACAAUUUAAACCUCUUAACGAGGAACAAUUGGAGGGCAAGUCUGGUGCCAGCAGCCGCGGUAAUUCCAGCUCCAAUAGCGUAUAUUAAAGUUGUUGCAGUUAAAAAGCUCGUAGUUGAACCUUUGGCCUGGCUGGCGGGUCCGCCUCACCGCGUGCACUCGUCCGGCCGGGCCUUUUCUUCUGGAGAACCGCAUGCCCUUCACUGGGUGUGUUGGGGACCAGGACUUUUACUUUGAAUAAAUCAGAGUGUUCAAAGCAGGCAUUUGCUCGAAUACGUUAGCAUGGAAUAAUAGAAUAGGACGUGCGGUCUUAUUUUGUUGGUUUCUAAGACCGCCGUAAUGAUUAAUAGGGACAGUCGGGGGCAUCAGUAUUCAAUUGUCAGAGGUGAAAUUCUUGGAUUUAUUGAAGACUAACUACUGCGAAAGCAUUUGCCAAGGAUGUUUUCAUUAAUCAGUGAACGAAAGUUAGGGGAUCGAAGACGAUCAGAUACCGUCGUAGUCUUAACCAUAAACUAUGCCGACUAGGGAUCGGGCGGUGUUAUUAUUUUGACUCGCUCGGCACCUUACGAGAAAUCAAAGUGUUUGGGUUCUGG